rnacentral:rRNA from 1 species
AACGAACGCUGGCGGCGUGCCUAACACAUGCAAGUCGAGCGAGAAAGUCCCUUCGGGGGCGAGUAAAGCGGCGGACGGGUGAGUAAUACAUGGAUAAUCUUCCCUCGAGCCUGGGAUAACCCUGCGAAAGUGGGGCUAAUACCGGAUAAGACCACAUGACACAUGUCACGGGGUAGAAGGUGGCUUGUAUUUAUAUGAGCUAUCACUUGAGGAUGAGUCCAUGGCCUAUCAGCUAGUUGGUGAGGUAAGAGCUUACCAAGGCUAUGACGGGUAGCUGGUCUGAGAGGACGACUAGCCACACUGGGACUGAGACACGGCCCAGACUCCUACGGGAGGCAGCAGUGGGGAAUAUUGGGCAAUGGGCGAAAGCCUGACCCAGCGACGCCGCGUGGGUGAUGAAGGCCUUCGGGUUGUAAAACUCUGUCCUUGGUGAGAAAGGAGGUAGCCAAGGAGGAAGCCCGGCUAACUACGUGCCAGCAGCCGCGGUAAGCAUACUCG